UGGGGAAUAUUGCACAAUGGGCGCAAGCCUGAUGCAGCCAUGCCGCGUGUAUGAAGAAGGCCUUCGGGUUGUAAAGUACUUUCAGCGGGGAGGAAGGGAGUAAAGUUAAUACCGUUGCUCAUUGACGUUACCCGCAGAAGAAGCACCGGCUAACUCCGUGCCAGCAGCCGCGGUAAUACGGAGGGUGCAAGCGUUAAUCGGAAUUACUGGGCGUAAAGCGCACGCAGGCGGUUUGUUAAGUCAGAUGUGAAAUCCCCGGGCUCAACCCGGGAACUGCAUCUGAUACUGGCAAGCUUGAGUCUCGUAGAGGGGGGUAGAAUUCCAGGUGUAGCGGUGAAAUGCGUAGAGAUCUGGAGGAAUACCGGUGGCGAAGGCGGCCCCCUGGACGAAGACUGACGCUCAGGUGCGAAAGCGUGGGGAGCAAACAGG
rnacentral:rRNA from 1 species